UACGUAGGCAGCGAGCGUUGUUCGGAAUUACUGGGCGUAAAGCGUGCGCAGGCGGUUGGCAAAGUCAGCUGUGAAAGCCCCGGGCUCAACCUGGGAAUGGCGGUUGAAACUAGUCGACUAGAAUCUGGCAGAGGGGGGUGGAAUUCCACGUGUAGCAGUGAAAUGCGUAGAGAUGUGGAGGAACACCGAUGGCGAAGGCAGCCCCCUGGGCUGAGAUUGACGCUCAGGCACGAAAGCGUGGGGAGCAAACAGG
rnacentral:rRNA from 1 species